CUACGGAGGCUCCAGUGAGGAAUAUUGGACAAUGGGGGAAACCCUGAUCCAGCAAUGCCGCGUGUGUGAAGAAGGCCUGCGGGUUGUAAAGCACUUUCGGUUGGGAGGACUGCUUCUAGCACUAAUAUUGUUGGAAGUUGACGUUACCUUCAGAAGAAGCACCGGCGAACUCCGUGCCAGCAGCCGCGGUGAAUACGGAGGGUGCAAGCGUUAAUCGGAAUUACUGGGCGUAAAGCGCGCGUAGGCGGCUAGAUCAGUCGGGUGUGAAAGCCCCGGGCUUAACCUGGGAACUGCAUCCGAUACUGUCUAGCUUGAGUACAGGAGAGGAGAGUGGAAUUCCACAUGUAGCGGUGAAAUGCGUAGAUAUGUGGAGGAACACCAAUGGCGAAGGCAGCUCUCUGGCCUGAUACUGACGCUGAGGUGCGAAAGCGUGGGGAGCAAACAGGAUUAGAUACCCUUGUAGUC
rnacentral:rRNA from 1 species